rnacentral:rRNA from 1 species
GGACAACCUGCCCUCGAGAGGGAGAUAACCCCGGGAAAACUGGGGCUAAACCCCCAUAGGUGAUGGAUACUGGAAUGUUCCAUCACCGAAAGUCCGCAAGGAGCCCGAGGAUGGGUCUGCGGCGGAUUAGGUAGUUGGUGGGGUAACGGCCCACCAAGCCUAAGAUCCGUACGGGCCAUGGGAGUGGGAGCCCGGAGAUGGACCCUGAGACAAGGGUCCAGGCCCUACGGGGCGCAGCAGGCGCGAAACCUCCGCAAUGCGGGAAACCGCGACGGGGUCAGCCGGAGUGCCGAUGCUUGCAUCGGCUGUCGGGGAGCCUAAAAAGCUCCCCAUAGCAAGGGCCGGGCAAGGCCGGUGGCAGCCGCCGCGGUAAUACCGGCGGCCCGAGUGGCGGCCACUAUUAUUGGGCUUAAAGCGUCCGUAGCCGGGUUGGUUAGUCUCCCGGGAAAUCUGGCCGCUUAACGGUCAGAAUUCCGGGAGAUACUGCCAGCCUAGGGACCGGGAGAGGCCGAGGGUAUUCCCGGAGUAGGGGUGAAAUCCUAUAAUCCCGGGAGGACCACCUGUGGCGAAGGCGCUCGGCUGGAACGGGUCCGACGGUGAGGGACGAAGGCCAGGGGAGCAAACCGGAUUAGAUACCCGGGUAGUCCUGGCUGUAAACGAUGCGGACUUUGUGUCGGACAAGCUAUGAGCUUGUCCGGUG